GACGAACGCUGGCGGCGUGCUUAACACAUGCAAGUCGAACGGAAAGGCCCUGCUUUUGUGGGGUGCUCGAGUGGCGAACGGGUGAGUAACACGUGAGUAACCUGCCCUUGACUUUGGGAUAACUUCAGGAAACUGGGGCUAAUACCGGAUAGGAGCUCCUGCUGCAUGGUGGGGGUUGGAAAGUUUCGGCGGUUGGGGAUGGACUCGCGGCUUAUCAGCUUGUUGGUGGGGUAGUGGCGUACCAAGGCUAUGACGGGUAGCCGGCCUGAGAGGGUGACCGGCCACAUUGGGACAGAGGAACGGCCCAGACGGCUGCGGGAGGGAGCGGCGGAGACGAUGGCGAAACAGGCCGAAGCAUGAUGGAGCAACGCCGCGUGCGGGAAGACGGCCUUCGGGUAGUAACCCGCUUUCGCCUGUGACGAGGCGUGUGGAACGGUAAUGGGUAAAGAAGCACCGGCAAACUACGU
rnacentral:rRNA from 1 species